rnacentral:rRNA from 1 species
UCUACGGGCGGCAGCAGUGAGGAAUAUUGGUCAAUGGACGAGAGUCUGAACCAGCCAAGUAGCGUGAAGGAUGACUGCCCUAUGGGUUGUAAACUUCUUUUAUAUGGGAAUAAAAUGUUCCACGUGUGGGUUUUUGUAUGUACCAUAUGAAUAAGGAUCGGCUAACUCCGUGCCAGCAGCCGCGGUAAUACGGAGGAUCCGAGCGUUAUCCGGAUUUAUUGGGUUUAAAGGGAGCGUAGGUGGUUUGUUAAGUCAGUUGUGAAAGUUUGCGGCUCAAUCGUAAAAUUGCAGUUGAAACUGGCAGUCUUGAGUACAGUAGAGGUGGGCGGAAUUCGUGGUGUAGCGGUGAAAUGCUUAGAUAUCACGAAGAACUCCGAUUGCGAAGGCAGCUUACUGGACUGCAACUGACACUGAGGCUCGAAAGUGUGGGUAUCAAACAGGAUUAGAUACCCGGGUAGUC